rnacentral:rRNA from 1 species
GAGACCUCAGGUCAGGCGGGGUUACCCGCUGAAUUUAA